rnacentral:Y_RNA from 1 species
GGCAGGUCUCAAAGUAGUGAGUUAUCUCACUUGAUUGUUCAGUCAGUUACAGAUUGAACUCCUUGUUCUACUACUUUCCUCCCUUCUCACUACUGCACUUGACAAUG